UCCUGGUGUUUUAUUUACACGCUGUACGCCUA
rnacentral:piRNA from 1 species